rnacentral:rRNA from 1 species
AUUGAACGCUGGCGGCAGGCUUAACACAUGCAAGUCGAACGAGUGGCGGACGGGUGAGUAAUGCUUGGGAAUCUAGCUUAUGGAGGGGGAUAACUACGGGAAACUGUAGCUAAUACCGCGUACCAUAGGAUGAGCCCAGGUGGGAUUAGGUGGUGGGUGGGGUAAAGGCUCACCAGGCCGACGAUCUCUAGCUGGUCUGAGAGGAUGACCGGCCAAACGGGGACGGGGACACGGCCCGGACUCCUAGGGGAGGCAGCAGUGGGGAAUAUUGCGAAAGGGGGGCAGUCGGACGCAGACAGGCCGCGGGAAGGAAGAAGGCCUUCGGGUUGUAAAGUUCUUUCGGUAGGGAGGCGUUAACUAAAGAAGAAGCAACGGCUAACUCCGUGCCAGCAGCCGCGGUAAUAC